CCGGCACUCUGCGGUCUUUGCGCCUUAUGGGGUCGCUGCAAGCAGGUUGGAGCCCCAGGGGCUCCGCACACCCUGAUUGAACUGACUCCGCUGAUUCCCGCUGAUCAGUCUUUCUCGGAAAGCCCCUCAGAUUGCUCGUUUGUCUCGGCUCCCUGGACCUGGUCGAGGCUUCAAUCCCGUCCGCCAGGCUUGUUGCAGCUGGCCAAAGUGCUCCUUCUUAUAAUUCACGUUACUGCUCUGCCACCCCAACCAGACUUUCUUGCAAAACUUGGUAUUUCAAUUAGUCUGCAGAUAUUUCUUGAAUACCAAAUAUGUGGAAGUAGCUUUCUUAGUGUGAGAAAAGCAAGAUUUGACUCCCAAGACUCAUCAUCUACGUGGAAAGAUAAAACAAAGACACAAAUAGCUAUAGUAUAAGACGCUCUGCAGUCUCUGGACUGGGUCUUUUCCAAGAGGACACAGAAGAGGAGAGAAUGGCAGCUGUGCCCCUAGCAGCCAGAUGGCAGUUGAAGAGAGGCAAAGAGCCAUGGAAACUUGAUCAUCAGGAAGCUGAAGAGAGAGAAGUCCCAGGAAGCACUUCUCUAGGAAUGUGUGAGCUGGGCAGAUGGGGCUUUGCUGGACAGUUCACUUAGAGACCACUCCUUAGGAUCACAUAGACCUAUGAGAUGGUCACUGCCACACUGGCCUUUGCCUGGAAAACUCGUACCAUGUAUAGCCACAUGGCCUUCUUGUCACCUUUUUCAAGUUUUUGCUCAAAUGUGCCACCUUCUCAGUCAGGCCUGGCCUGACGACCCUAUGUAAAAUUGAACCCUCUCCAUCCCUUUGUCCCUCCCAGCCCCUGCACCACCCGGCUCUCUUCCCGACUCUGUCUUCCUAACAUACUAUAGUUUUACUUCUUCAUUUUGUUGGUUGUCUGUCCACACCUACCCUCUGUUAAAGUAUAAACUCCAUCAGAGACUUUUUCUGUUGUUUGCUACUGUAUCCCCAGUACUUCAAACAGUACCUGGUACAGAGCACACACUCAGGUAUUUGUCAGAUGAAUGAAUAAGUGGAGUGUGCAUAGCAAGGCCCGCCCCCAAUGGGUUUUUUGCAGGGAGGGUUGAGAUCUAUCGUCAUUUCAACUCUGAUAUCACUUUCUUAUCUUUUCUGCGUAUCCUUUACUGUAUCUCCUCCUCUUCCUUUAAAUUACCAUUCAGUGGCCAUUGACAGUUCACUUUCUCAGGUGCUAGCCUAUCUCCCCACUUUUUCUCUGCUGUUUACACUCAUCGAGUAACAAACUGCCCAGUCAUUUCCCCGCUUCAUUGUGUAUCUCCUAUUUUUAUGCACGUAUCUCUCUCUCUGAAAUGCUCUUCUUUUGGCUGUGUACUUGGUUAACAACUUUCAGAUCUCAGCUUAAAUGUCACUUCUAGAUGACCGUUCUUAAGGGUCCCUCUAAAGAAGCCCCCACUCCAACUCUCAUUCAUCAUUUCCUUUGCUGUACUUAUCACCAUCUGUUAUAUUUUGUUUAUUUAUUCUUUGUCUUCUGUCUAGUAGAAUAUAAGCAUAACAAGGGUGGGGACCAUGUCUGUCUUGUUCAUUAGGGUCCCAAUGACUUUUACCAUGCCUCCUUACCACUUAGCAGGCCCCUGGUAAAUAUCUCAUGAAUGAAUAACUGAAACUUGUUCAGUGGGCUAGAUGCCCACCUUCCACUUCUGGUCUCUAUUCCUCUUUUUUCCUCUGCCAUUUUUCAGCCUCCCCGUAAUGUUUUUUCUCUGAGGAGCUACCAAUAAACCCAGCAGUAUUUUGUAUUUGUUCUUUUCUUAAUAUAUAUACAAUGUUUUCCUUUUCACUAGCACUCAAACCCAGUUAUAUCUGUGUUUUCUGUUUGUUUUAUACCAGAAGGCUAGACUUAAGAGCCAGGACUCAACUGAAAAGCAGGAUGUUUCUAAAAAAGUAAAGUCAUUACUGAAAAUACAAGACAUGAAUGAAAAACCUCAGAAAAGAUGGUCCUCUGGGUCCUGUACUUGGCCCAGAAAACCCUGAGGGCACAAAGAAAGAAAAUGCUUCAGGGGAGACUUUGAAGAAAUCUUCCCCCAAGGAGAAGGACUCAGGCAGGGAUACACUCUUGCCAAACAAACUGACAGUAAGGAGAUACAGUUGGAAUGCAGCGUAUGUGGGAAGACCUUAUAUAACCAUUUACCCCUCGCUUGCCAUCAGAGGACUCACACUGGAGAGAAGCUCUAUGACUAUAAAGAAUGCGGGAAAGCCUUCAGCUAUAGGAGUAGUCUUAAGAAACAUUUGAUGUCUCACACUGGGAAGAGCACCUCUGAAGGCAGCGAAUGUCAGGAACCUUUCUAUGACCAAUUAACCCUUAUUGAACAUCAGCGAAGUCAUACCAGAGGGAAGCCUUUUGAAUGUAAUGAAUGUGACAAGGCUUUCUUUGUCCACUUGUGCUUUACUCCACAUCAGAGAAUUCAUACUGGAGAAAGACCUUGUGAGUGUACAGAAUGUGGGAAAUCCUUUAGCCAGAAAAGCAAUCUCAGUCACCACAUGCUCACUCACCCUGGAGAGUGGCCCUGUGGGUGCAAGGCAUGUGGCAAAGCUCUGCUUGACCACUCCUCCCUCAUUCACCACAGGAAAGCGCACACUAGAAAGUCCCCUUUUGAAUGUAAUGAGUGUGGGAAAAUUUUCUUUGACCCCUCAUCCCUUAAUAAGCAUCAGAAAAUUCAUAGUGGAGACAAACCCUAGAAAGGCACUGAAUGUGGGAAAACCUUCCUCCAGAAAAGACAACUUAUUCAACAUGAAAGAGUGCACACUGGAGAGAAAUCCUGCAAGUACAGCGUGUACGGGAAAGUGCUCAGUUGAAAGUCAUCUAUCAUCCGACAUCAGUGACAUUAUGCAAACAGGCUUCAGAGUAUCACAAAGGUGCUUCAGCUGGACAAGGGACCCCUGUAGUGACUUUGAAACCAGAGGCCAACUUGCUUUAACUAUACUCAGUUAGUUGUCUGUUUGCAAAAGUAGUCAGAUAAUGCAUUACUAAAACCUACCCUGUAAAUAACAUCUCUGAUGCCUGGGUCACCAUAGUAACAGGUGCUUGAGUUUUUCAAGAACUGAGAGUCGACUCCUUGUCCAGUUCAGGCUGGUUAAGACAACCAACUCAUCAACUGGACCUGCGCAGAUGACCAAUAGGUGACACUGUGACAUCAAGGAGCUGAAAACUCCACCCUCAGAUCAUGGUAAUGCUACCAUUUUGUGAACAUGUGUCCUGUGAAGAGCCAUGAAGCUUGACUACACUUGCACGGAUCAUCAGUUACCUCACUUCUCCUUACCUCCAAUCAUCUUUUCCCACUUCAGACCACCCUGCCUGCCCCCUUAUCCCAUAAAUAACCCUAGUCCCCAUUUUGGAGGGAGGUAGAUUUGCCCACCUCCUCGCUUGGCUGCCUUGUGAUUAAAUCCUUUCUCUUUGCAGACUCGUCAUCUCAAUGAUUGGCAUAAUUGUGUGCCAGGCAAAACAAACCUGGUUCAGUAACUUCAAGAUAAUGAAGAUUUAUCUUUGAGCGCCUUCUAACUACUGUUUAUUCUCAUGCCUCCAUUUGGUACCAGAGUCUUAAUAAAUAGUCUCAAUGGAUCACACCAUGGACUUCCCCUGGGGUACUUCAAAUUUAAGAUAAUAGUCUGAGGAGCCCCAAAUUGAUCAGAUCAGAAGCUGUCCAAUCAACAUGCUUUGUAAGUGUUUGAAGGGGAUUCUAAGAUAAGCAUCAUAUAUUUUAUUUAUUUAUUUAUUCAUUCAUUCAUUGCUAGACUGCUCCAUGAGAACAAGAACUUUUUCAUAUCCAUGCACUGCUGUGUUCCCAGUGGUGCCUGGCACUUAUUA